CUGCAUUAGCAGAAAUAAUAGGAAUAGCCAAACAACAUUCAUUUCCUCAAAGCCCAAACAUGUGGACCAAAGAAGCAUUGGGAAAACUACAUUAUCAAAUUACAAGAGAGAAAGCACUGGGUCUUAAAUGCUGAUCACUGACUAACACAAAAGAAAACUAACAUGCUAAAAGAUGCCAUGUGAUACUUGUGCAAGCAAGUGCCAUCAAACCAAAAAUCCAAUGGCUGAUGAAAAUAAAACUUAGUAUGUACAUCACAUGUACAAUUAUCAUCAAUAUAUAUAGGUAUACGAGUUGACUAGGUUUGGGCAACAGAAAUGAUGUGAGAGGAGAUAAGAAACUCUCCUCCACCCCCGGUUUGCUUUCUAAGCCCGUGAAUCACUGGCAACAUCCGUUGAAGUAACUAAGAUUCAAUUGUGCAACAGUUUUCCUCAAUUUGAGCUUAACCAUGACAAAAAAAAAGGAAUCAUGUCUUAUACAAAUACUAGAUUUUUAUUGUAGUUUUCUUACCAAGGAUUUACUUAUUACAGAAUGCCCUGGUGCUUAUCCAAUAUUAGCAAGGUACACUUCAUACUAGACAUAUAGUGAAUAGCCAUGCCGAUCAUGUCUGCUGCUGCUAAUAUGUUAAGUGCAAUCACAUCAUAAUGUCCAAUUAUCCUUUAUUUUUUUUGUGAAGAAAAUGAAAAGAAUUCAAGUGGCCAACAACGAAUAGUAAUCAAUUAUAUAACAGUUUGUCGCCAACUCAAGUAUUCUGCCAUAAAAUCUAUUAAUUCAAAAAAAAUUCCUGUUAAUUUUUUGAAGUUUUAGUUUGAAACCAAAGAUAUUGACAUUCCUAAUCUUGCAUUCAAAAAAUAAAUUUCCAAUAUUCGUAAAAGAAAUAACAAGUUAGACACAGAUAACUGCUAGGAUGAUAAUAAUAAGUCAAUAUCAGAGAGGGUAAGAGAAAUUGCCUGGAAGCCUUAAAGGCUAUGAAGAGAUUAGUUUAUUAUAAGGUUGUUAAAACAUGAUACAUUGGUAAUUUGAUUGUUCUGAGAAAACUGAAGUAUCUGGUAACAUAUGCAUCAUAUGGAUGUGGUCAAGUGGCUCCCUUGUACAUAUUACAUAAGUCUUAUUCAACGUAGCUGCAGAAACAUUUACCUACUGCAGUCACUAAUUUGAACAUUAAUCACAUGCACUAAAGACCCUUAACACUCAGCAUUCCUAUAUCAUAUCCUACAUUACUGCUUUGCAUGAAACGACAGCAUUGACACUAUUUGUUCAAAUUGUAUUUUAGGCACACAUGUCAAAACUCCACACACUAGCCCAUAGAAUGACAUUGACAUGAACAUCAUGUAAUAAUAGUAAGCAAAGAGCCAGAGGCUAUAUAUUUCACAUUGCAUUAGAGGUGACAAAAUAAGCAUUUUGAUGGACAACAUAUAAGCAUUCAACAAAGGUAAAGCAUCAGCAAACGUAUACAUCAUAUACAAUAUAUGACAAGCAUGAUCUUAUGACUAACUUCCGCAUUGUGUCGAUAUCAUUGCUAGAUAGAUUUUGGGCUG
rnacentral:lncRNA from 1 species